rnacentral:lncRNA from 1 species
AGCCACUCAGAUGCUGCUAUGUGAAAGAGCCAUACUUGUUGCUUGCUGCUUGAACAUCUACUUUUUCUCCUCCAGUGUGUGAUAAACUUGGGAGAUCAUACACUGCAGUCGUGCCACUGGGGAAAAGACAGAGGAAAGGGGAAAGGGACAAGGAGGAAGAGAAGAAAAGGAGGAGGAAGAGAAGAAAAGGAGGAGAAAGAGCAGGAGGGAAAGAAGGCCCUGCCCCAUCGCUAAUGGAUGGUCCUAAGAGCCACACACACGACACCAUGAAGUCCUCACUGGCCACUGGAUGAAGGAAGACUGGCAGAGAAAGAGUUAGCACAACUGCUUGAUUGUUAGCCAGGAGAAAGCUGCCUCUUAUCUGUUCACUGGACUCUGAAAGAACAUAGGGCAAAGAAGACAGAGGGGCUGGAGGAAGAAGAAUCUUCAUUUAAAUCCGGGCUCCGUUCUUGAGAAGCUGAGUAUCUCUGAGGAAGUUUCUUGUUAAGAUGCAGAAUGCUCAGUAGCGGCUGCAUUCCUGAUACCUUCAUCCUGAAUUGAACAAGACUUCCAGUCUAGGAUAAUCUUUCUGCUUGUGACAAUAGAAGCAGGAUCUUCAAAAAACACCCAGGCUUUGCAUCAUCACUGGGGAAGGGGCACAAAAGGUUUUUGAGACAAGUUCUCAGUAUGCAGUUCGGGCUGGCCUCAAACCACAGCGAUCCUCUGGCUCAGCCUCCCAAGUGCUGGAAUUACGGGUGUGUGCGCCAUAUCCAGCUUGUCCUUUUAUCCAGUCCACUAGGCUUCCCAUCGCACAGCCCAACUAACCCUCCAAGAGAAAAC